GCCACGUUGAAACACAGGUUCCCGUACAAUCAUCGAAGUUAACCAACGUUGGACCUGGUCAGUACUUAGAUGGGUGACCGCUUGGGAAUACCACUAGGUGUUGU